UAGAUUAAAGCUCGCUGGGAUUGAGCGUUUAGCUGUUAACUAAAAGGUCGUAGGAUAAAAGCUUUCUAAUCUAG
rnacentral:tRNA from 1 species